UACGUAGGGUGCAAGCGUUAAUCUGAAUUACUGGGCGUAAAGCGUGCGCAGGCGGUUUGGUACGACAGAUGUGAAAUCCCCGGGCUUAACCUGGGAAUUGCAUUUGUGACUGCCCGGCUAGAGUGUGUCAGAGGGGGGUAGAAUUCCACGUGUAGCAGUGAAAUGCGUAGAGAUGUGGAGGAAUACCGAUGGCGAAGGCAGCCCCCUGGGAUAACACUGACGCUCAUGCACGAAAGCGUGGGGAGCAAACAGG
rnacentral:rRNA from 1 species